CGAGUUUUUUCGAAGAAACACCUCUUUGCGGCUUCUUCGCCUCGAUGGCAUCUACAUAUCUAAAACGUUAGUUCAAGACAUCACGAACCACAACAAAAACUUGACGUCCUUAGAAAUCAUAGGUAUUCGUCACGGGUAUGAACGUAACGGUGAACCAGGAUCGUUGGAAUCUCUGGCACAACUCGCUGAGCUAAAGCAUCUAAGAUUGACAAAUCUGGGCACAUUCAUUUUUCGCGGAUGUAGAGCGCCUCCAUCGCUCCAAUCUUUGUUCAUUAAUUUAGAGCCUUCAGACAUUGGAGCUGACCUUCUCGCUUUAUUCGAGGAUCUUUUCCAAAUUGCACCGCAAUUGACAUGUUUGGGUUUAGGGUCCGUCUGCUUAAGAAAAACGGCCGUUCAGUUCAUUUGCAACCAUUUCUCAAAACUCAAUCGUUUGCAGCUGACUUGGACAGAGCUUUCGCGCGAGGGUCUUUCCGGAAUCGAUCGGUUACCGCAUCUUUGGUAUUUAGAAUUAAACUUGAUUACUACAAACAGAUUAAUCAGCAUCAUUCCUCAAAACAAAGUUCGCUACCUCAAAUUUUACCUCAAUUAUCAAAACGAUGAUCAUGAACGAUGUAAUGAUGACGUUCUACAGCUGCCGGAGAUUUUCCCUCAGCUCAACCGAUUGAACUUGAUCAGCGGGGGCGAGUGUCUUCGUGAGUCUACUGUCGAUAGGUUACGCAAGUUACUUCCGACAUGCGCAAUAAAAAUAUAUGGCCAGCUUAUCACCAACGCAGGGAUGAAAAAACGUUUCCGGAAUUGGACCAAAAUUUAAAUGAUGCCGGUGUGAGAAAAGAAAAGGCUAUGGAGAAAGCAGGACAUUUAAAAAGACAACACAGCUCACACAAGCAACAUAUUCUUAGAAAAGUCGCAUCUGAAAAAUGUUCAGAAUGGUACGUACGUCUAAAACUGUAAUUUAAGGAAAUGCAGAAACCCCGAAU